GUUAUUUGUGUAACAAGUUGGGCAUGAUCAAUGUCUUUGCUCCAACUUGAGCGGGAGUGUUAUAGAAUAUUCUGUAAAUGUGAUUAGGAAA